rnacentral:rRNA from 1 species
AGAGUUUGAUCCUGGCUCAGGAUGAACGCUGGCGGCGUGCUUAACACAUGCAAGUCGAACGGAGUACCCUUGAAGGAGUUUUCGGACAACUGAUAGGACUACUUAGUGGCGGACGGGUGAGUAACGCGUGAGUAACCUGCCUUGGAGUGGGGAAUAACAGCUGGAAACAGCUGCUAAUACCGCAUGAUGCAGUUGGGUCGCAUGGCUCUGACUGCCAAAGAUUUAUCGCUCUGAGAUGGACUCGCGUCUGAUUAGCUAGUUGGCGGGGCAACGGCCCACCAAGGCGACGAUCAGUAGCCGGACUGAGAGGUUGGCCGGCCACAUUGGGACUGAGACACGGCCCAGACUCCUACGGGAGGCAGCAGUGGGGAAUAUUGGGCAAUGGGCGCAAGCCUGACCCAGCAACGCCGCGUGAAGGAAGAAGGCUUUCGGGUUGUAAACUUCUUUUCUUAGGGACGAAGAAAGUGACGGUACCUAAGGAAUAAGCCACGGCUAACUACGUG